GAUGGCGAACCGCGUGCCGCCGGCGCGCUGGACCUACGACAACAUCGCCUACAUGAAGCGGCAGCUGCAGAGCCUGGGCUUCGCUCUCGACUGGAGCCGCGAGCUCGCCACCUGCCGGCCCGAGUACUACCGGUGGAACCAGUGGCUCUUCACGCGGCUCUUCCGCAAGGGCCUC
rnacentral:misc_RNA from 1 species